GAAUUCAGUUAAUGUACGUAUUAGCUAGCAAUAUGUCUAAACCUUAAGGUUGGUUUAUUUGGUAACAAUAUUAUGAACUUUAAAUGCUGGGAGUUGGUGGGGGUCACCUGGCUGGAGCUGCAGCUCGAGCGUCAUGGACAGAGAAAGCGUUGGAGAUAACAGGCUGCUGACCCUCUGAUGACCUGGCAUGGUGUGAAACACGUCACAUAGGAGUGGCUGCAAACCCAUGUGUGAGUCUCUCCAGGCAAUCAUCUGUCCGUCUCUCACUCACACUCAGAGCGCACCUUGAGGGCAGCCCUGCCUCUGUGUACCAGCAUGGAUUAAACCCUCAUGCGUGUUUUCAUCCGGAGGCCGCUCUGCUGUCCUGGAAGUUGACUGGUGACCACAGGUGGAAAACCAGCGGUAUGUUGUCACCGCCUCCAGGCUCGAGCUCAAGGAGAAAAUGGAAAUAGCCAACAUCGAACCGACGCAGUCAAUACCACUCUCCAGAAAAGAGCUGAGAGGGACGCUCUCCGCCGCAGAGCAAGACUGAUGGAGGGAGGAGUGGGCGAUAGCCAGAGUAUGUCAGGUUUCAUCUGCCCUGUGUGACACACAGCACUCUGACAGCUCUGCUACACACGAUCUAGUCUCAAAACUAUCUCUCUCAUGCACACACUCUUCUGUCUUCCCCUCUCUUUCCAGUCCAGCCAUCUUUAUCAGUCUCUCACCCCCUCUGGGCUGCCAUUUUGCAGCAUAUGGGUCUCCCACACGAGUACUCACACAUGCACUGCCAUAUGCGUUUGCUCAUACACCCUCACUUGCACAGUCUUUCCCUCUCUUCUCCUGUUUAUUUGCUCUUCUUCCUUCUCUGUGUCUUUAUUAAAAUAGCACCUAGCCCAGUCAUUCGCAUUUAAAUGAGCUAAUUUUGAAAAAGAAACAAGAUGGCGAAGGGGGGAUAUGAUUGGAAAGAUGAUUUUGAAUCUGUCUGAAAUAUUCAUCUCUGUCUGCCGAUGUUUCCACUGACCGUUUGAUUGGCUGAAAUGGCUGUCAGUCAGGCAUUCAAACUCUCACCUGUCAGUCACCGUGAAAUCUCAUGUCUCCACACAUGAUUUGAUUUGUCGACCUCUUUCACUUCCUCUGCCCAUUUCUGCCUCAAACAUAUGGAAGAUUCAGCUGCAGGCCCUGGUACAGUUUGGUCCUCCGACCUGCAGGUGUUCCAGCAGAGGUGUUUGAUGAAACACUGGUCGUACUGGGCAGGUGUGAACGCGUGUAACCAUUGUGGCAUGGCUAAAACGUGCUUUGUAACAUCUUGCGCAGAGGGGUUUUCUGACAUGUUGUCUCACCAUGCAGCUGUGUGCACAUGUGCACAUUUCCAAAAUGUGAACCACAUGGACGUGCCUGCACACGACCCAUGUCGGCUACAUGUUUUAGGCCUCAAUCAUUACUGAUUUGAUUAAGGUUUAAAGAGUAGCAAAAGGUAAUUGUGGCCUUUUUCCUCAACAUAAGAGGAUUAUUAAUGUUUCAAUCCAGAAAAGGAGGAUUAAUAUGGUGAGACGUUGAGGGAUGACAUCUGGAGCUCAUGGUUAUACAUAAAGAGUUUAAUAAGGUGCAGUAACUACUGUAAUGUUUUUGAAACUGUAUUGUGUGUAAGAUUUUGUUCAUAUAGCACCUUGUAAAAC